UACGUAGGGUGCGAGCGUUUAAUCGGAAUUACUGGGCGUAAAGCGUGCGCAGGCGGUGAUGUAAGACCGAUGUGAAAUCCCCGGGCUUAACCUGGGAACUGCAUUUGUGACUGCACGGCUAGAGUGUGUCAGAGGGGGGUAGAAUUCCACGUGUAGCAGUGAAAUGCGUAGAGGUGUGGAGGAAUACCGAUGGCGAAGGCAGCCCCCUGGGAUAACACUGACGCUCAUGCACGAAAGCGUGGGGAGCAAACAGG
rnacentral:rRNA from 1 species